CUUUCUCAGGAAACCAACCAUCAGGCCUCCCAGAGAGAAUCGAGGAACUGAAAUCUCCCAUAUCACCACAUCCAGACAAUGAGACAUGGCUGCUGCCUGUUGACAAACUCCUCUUCUUUAUACCUCCCGAAUUUCUGUUUUCCUGCAUAUGGUUACGUCCAAUAGGUCAGCGGCAUAGUGGCGCCCCAGAACAGGGACUUCGAGGACGUGAACGAAGGUCUGCUGGAGCAGAGGAACUGAAUUUGACAAGGCAAACGGGGACCCCAGGACGAGUCUGCCGGCAGUGGAUAUAAGGAGAUGGACAAACUGUGCGUGCGACCAUGGAACGGGAGACUGGAGGAACCUAUGGUGGCCAACCAUGAGCCCGGUCCCUCCGGUACGAGCCAUGAGCCAGCUGAGCCUGAGUGCAAAGAUGGAGAGAGGGCCGAUAGGAGUCACGACACAGCUCUAAUGCUACAUUUUCUGUAAAAUUCGAUGGACCACCAAUUGGAUAGUAAGAGCUGCCCAGCCUGGACUUACAUUCUUUCAAUUAAUACAUAAAACAAAAAGGGGGAUAUGCAGGGAGCCGAAGGCCCGUGGGACGUGACCAGCUCAGCAUUUCGCUGGAGGCUAUAUGAUCAAACAGCAAACUGUUUAUCAUGAAUGCAGGAUGUGGGCAAACUCACAUUGUCCUGCCACCAAAACGUUUGCUGAGGGACAUCAUUCCCUGAUGGCUCCUUGAAGUUAUCUACGGAGAAAAUUAGCGCCUAUUGUUCAAAGCAUGUAGUUCAAAGCCUGCUGUGAACCAAACAGCUGACUGACAAUUACCCGACAAUCACCGCCCCCAACCCCGCUUUUUCGCUAUCUCUUUUGCCUAAUAAAUAUGGAGGGCUGUGUAAACCAGGGCCCUUGUCCACUAGAGGCAAGGUUCCCCCUGACCCCUUCUUCCAAAUAUACUCUUUUGCCUCUUGUCUUUUAUUCCUGCGUUCGCCCCCCUUUGUUCAAUCCAAACGUGGAAGGCAAACUAUUUAUAGCUCAGUAUAUAUGUGCUUAAGUCUGUGUGAACAGAGAAAUGCCUCCCGCAGUGUUUGAAAGUGUUAAGCUGAUAAUGUAACUAACAAUUGCAGAGAGAACAAACGUUCAACUUGCCAUACACCUCAAAUUUGGAGAAACAGAGUUAAUUUGGGCAAAUCUACAAGUUCUGUUUUCGUUCCUAUAUUAUCAUUGUUGUUUAAUACUCACUGUACUUGUAGUUGAGACAAAUAGGUGCUACUGAAUUUUAUACUCUAUUUUCUU
rnacentral:lncRNA from 1 species